CUCAGCGCCGGUUAUGCUUCAAUCAAAAUGUGAAACGCUAUAGCGACUGCCGCCCUGAAUUGCGAGAAGAUUCGCGUGCGUUGACCCGGUCCUUUCGGUUCCGGAUUCCUCAGCCCCCAGCCCCCCGGGGUCGAACAGGAUCGGGUCUGUACGCACGGCAAGGAGGGACCAGCGCAAGUUGGUCCUUUU
rnacentral:sRNA from 1 species